CACGUAGGGCGCGAGCGUUGUCCGGAAUUAUUGGGCGUAAAGAGCUCGUAGGCGGCCUGUUGCGUCCGCUGUGAAAGCCCGGGGCUUAACCCCGGGUCGGCAGUGGAUACGGGCAGGCUAGAGGUAGGUAGGGGAGAAUGGAAUUCCCGGUGUAGCGGUGAAAUGCGCAGAUAUCAGGAGGAACACCGGUGGCGAAGGCGGGUCUCUGGGCCGAUACUGACGCUGAGACGCGAAAGCUAGGGGAGCAAACAGG
rnacentral:rRNA from 1 species